UACGUAGGGGGCAAGCGUUGUCCGGAAUUAUUGGGCGUAAAGAGCGCGUAGGCGGUCCGAUAAGUCGGCUGUGAAAGUCAGGGGCUCAACCCUUGAAAGCCGGCCGAUACUGUCGGACUAGAGUCCGGAAGAGGCGAGUGGAAUUCCCGGUGUAGCGGUGAAAUGCGCAGAUAUCGGGAGGAACGCCAAUGGCGAAGGCAGCUCGCUGGGACGGUACUGACGCUGAGGCGCGAAAGCGUGGGGAGCGAACAGG
rnacentral:rRNA from 1 species